rnacentral:tRNA from 1 species
GCCACCGUAGCUCAGUUGGUAGAGCAACGCACUCGUAACGCGUAGGUCGGAGGUUCAAUCCCUCUCGGUGGCUCCA